AUUGAACGCUGGCGGCGUGCCUAACACAUGCAAGUCGCACGCGAAAGGGAGCAAUCCCGAGUAGAGUGGCGGACGGGUGAGUAACGCGUAGGAAUCUACCUAGUAGUGGGGGACAACCCGGCGAAAGCCGGGCUAAUACCGCAUACGACCUAAGGGUGAAAGCCGGGGAUCGCAAGACCUGGCGCUAUUAGAUGAGCCUGCGUCCGAUUAGCUAGUUGGUGAGGUAACGGCUCACCAAGGCUUCGACGGGUAGCUGGUCUGAGAGGACGAUCAGCCACACUGGCACUGCGACACGGGCCAGACUCCUACGGGAGGCAGCAGUAAGGAAUAUUGCGCAAUGGGCGAAAGCCUGACGCAGCGACGCCGCGUGGGGAUGAAGGUCU
rnacentral:rRNA from 1 species